UGGCGACCGGCGCACGGGUGCGUAACGCGUAUGCAACCUACCUUUAACAGGGGGAUAAUACUGAGAAAUUGGUACUAAUACCCCAUAAUAUCAUAGAAGGCAUCUUUUAUGGUUGAAAAUUCCGAUGGUUAGAGAUGGGCAUGCGUUGUAUUAGCUAGUUGGUGGGGUAACGGCUCACCAAGGCGACGAUACAUAGGGGGACUGAGAGGUUAACCCCCCACACUGGUACUGAGACACGGACCAA
rnacentral:rRNA from 1 species